UACGGGGGGGGCAAGCGUUGUUCGGAAUUACUGGGCGUAAAGGGCUCGUAGGCGGCCAACUAAGUCGGAUGUGAAAUCCCCAGGCUCAACCUGGGAACUGCAUCCGAUACUGGAUGGCUUGAAUCCGGGAGAGGGAUGCAGAAUUCCAGGUGUAGCGGUGAAAUGCGUAGAUAUCUGGAGGAAUACCGGUGGCGAAGGCGGCAUCCUGGACCGGCAUUGACGCUGAUGAGCGAAAGCUAGGGGAGCAAACAGG
rnacentral:rRNA from 1 species